rnacentral:rRNA from 1 species
GAUGAACGCUGGCGGCGUGCCUAAUACAUGCAAGUCGAGCGAACAGACGAGGAGCUUGCUCCUCUGACGUUAGCGGCGGACGGGUGAGUAACACGUGGAUAACCUACCUAUAAGACUGGGAUAACUUCGGGAAACCGGAGCUAAUACCGGAUAAUAUAUUGAACCGCAUGGUUCAAUAGUGAAAGACGGUUUUGCUGUCACUUAUAGAUGGAUCCGCGCCGCAUUAGCUAGUUGGUAAGGUAACGGCUUACCACGGCGACGAUGCGUAGCCGACCUGAGAGGGUGAUCGGCCACACUGGAACUGAGACACGGUCCAGAGUACUACGGGAGGCAGCAGUAGGGAAUCUUCCGCAAUGGGCGAAAGCCUGACGGAGCAACGCCGCGUGAGUGAUGAAGGUCUUCGGAUCGUAAAACUCUGUUAUUAGGGAAGAACAAAUGUGUAAGUAACUAUGCACGUCUUGACGGUACCUAAUCAGAAAGCCACGGCUAACUACGUG